GGGGAUGUAGUUCAGUUGUAGAGUUCUUGCCUUGCACACAUGAGGCCCUGAGUUCGAUCCUCAGCACCA
rnacentral:tRNA from 1 species